GUCCACGCCGUAAACGAUGGGUACUAGGUGUUGGGGGUAUUGACCCCUCCAGUGCCGCAGUUAACGCACUAAGUACCCCGCCUGGGAAGUACGGCCGCAAGGCUAAAACUCAAAGGAAUUGACGGGGGCCCGCACAAGCGGUGGAGCAUGUGGUUCAAUUCGACGCAACGCGAAGAACCUUACCUGGGCUUGACAUCCCGGGAACCCCUGGAACAGGGGUGCCGCAGGAGCCUGGAGACAGGUGCUGCAUGGCUGUCGU
rnacentral:rRNA from 1 species